rnacentral:sRNA from 1 species
UCUGCCCCACGGGGAAGGAUGAGAAGCUUCGACUAAGGUUCGACUCGAGCGAAGCGAGAGAACGUUGCCGCAGGCAACGGCCCGAAGGGCGAGGCGCUUUAGCGCCGAGUAAUCCUUCCCCCACCACUG